GAUGAACGCUAGCGACAGGCUUAACACAUGCAAGUCGAGGGGCAGCAUAGAAGUAGCAAUACUUUGGUGGCGACCGGCGCACGGGUGAGUAACGCGUAUGCAACCUACCUAUCAGAGGGGAAUAACCCGGCGAAAGUCGGACUAAUACCGCAUAAAACAGGGGCACCGCAUGGUGAUAUUUGUUAAAGAAAUUCGCUGAUAGAUGGGCAUGCGUUCCAUUAGGUAGUUGGUGAGGUAACGGCUCACCAAGCCGACGAUGGAUAGGGGAACUGAGAGGUUGGUCCCCCAACUGGUACUGAGACACGGACCAGACUCCUACGGGAGGCAGCAGUGAGGAAUAUUGGUCAAUGGGCGGGAGCCUGAACCAGCCAAGUCGCGUGAAGGAAGAAGGAUCUAUGGUUCGUAAACUUCUUUUGCAGGGGAAUAAAGUGCAGGACGUGUCCUGUUUUGUAUGUACCCUGAGAAUAAGGAUCGGCUAACCCGUGCCAGCAGCCGCGGUAA
rnacentral:rRNA from 1 species